AUUGAACGCUGGCGGCAGGCUUAACACAUGCAAGUCGAGCGGGGUGAUGGUGCUUGCACUAUCACUUAGCGGCGGACGGGUGAGUAAUGCUUAGGAAUCUGCCUAUUAGUGGGGGACAACAUCUCGAAAGGGAUGCUAAUACCGCAUACGUCCUACGGGAGAAAGCAGGGGAUCACUUGUGACCUUUUGCUAAUAGAUGAGCUUAAGUCGGAUUAGCUAGUUGGUGGGGUAAAGGCCUACCAAGGGGACGAUCUGUAGCGGGUCGGAGAGGAUGAUCCGCCACACUGGGACUGAGACACGGCCCAGACUCCUACGGGGCAGCAGUGGGGAAUAUUGGACAAUGGGGGGAACCCUGAUCCAGCCAUGCCGCGUGUGUGAAGAAGGCCUUAUGGUUGUAAAGCACUUUAAGCGAGGAGGAGGCUUACCUAGUUAAUACCUGGGAUAAGUGGACGUUACUCGCAGAAUAAGCACCGGCUAACUCUGUGCCAGCCGCCGCCGUAA
rnacentral:rRNA from 1 species